AGCUUUGCACAGUGGCAAUACUGUAGCCAAUGAGAUUUACCUGAGGCACGAUUAUUGCUGAUAGAGUGGGAUUUUUCUCUGUAAUAGUUCCAAUGGAAUUGCACUUAAUGUUUAAGUUUUUUUAUAUUUAUAAAAGU